rnacentral:rRNA from 1 species
GUGGGGAAUAUUGCACAAUGGGCGAAAGCCUGAUGCAGCAACGCCGCGUGAGGGAUGACGGCCUUCGGGUUGUAAACCUCUUUUAGUAGGGAAGAAGCGAAAGUGACGGUACCUGCAGAAAAAGCACCGGCUAACUACGUGCCAGCAGCCGCGGUAAUACGUAGGGUGCAAGCGUUGUCCGGAAUUAUUGGGCGUAAAGAGCUCGUAGGCGGUUUGUCGCGUCUGCUGUGAAAUCCCGAGGCUCAACCUCGGGUCUGCAGUGGGUACGGGCAGACUAGAGUGUGGUAGGGGAGAUUGGAAUUCCUGGUGUAGCGGUGGAAUGCGCAGAUAUCAGGAGGAACACCGAUGGCGAAGGCAGAUCUCUGGGCCAUUACUGACGCUGAGGAGCGAAAGCAUGGGGAGCGAACAGGAUUAGAUACCCUGGUAGUCC